rnacentral:rRNA from 1 species
CACUCCUGCGGGAGGCAGCAGUGGGGAAUAUUGGACAAUGGGGGCAACCCUGAUCCAGCCAUGCCGCGUGAGUGAUGAAGGCCCUAGGGUUGUAAAGCUCUUUUGUGCGGGAAGAUAAUGACGGUACCGCAAGAAUAAGCCCCGGCUAACUUCGUGCCUGCAGCCGCGGUAAUACGAAGGGGGCUAGCGUUGCUCGGAAUCACUGGGCGUAAAGGGUGCGUAGGCGGGUCUUUAAGUCAGGGGUGAAAUCCUGGAGCUCAACUCCAGAACUGCCUUUGAUACUGAGGAUCUUGAGUCCGGAAGAGGUGAGUGGAACUGCGAGUGUAGAGGUGAAAUUCGUAGAUAUUCGCAAGAACACCAGUGGCGAAGGCGGCUCACUGGUCCGGUACUGACGCUGAGGCACGAAAGCGUGGGGAGCAAACAGGAUUAGAAACCCUGGUAGUCCCAUGA